GACGAACGCUGGCGGCGUGCUUAACACAUGCAAGUCGAACGGAAAGGCCCUGCUUUUGUGGGGUGCUCGAGUGGCGAACGGGUGAGUAACACGUGAGUAACCUGCCCUUGACUUUGGGAUAACUUCAGGAAACUGGGGCUAAUACCGGAUAGGAGCUCCUGCUGCAUGGUGGGGGUUGGAAAGUUUCGGCGGUUGGGGAUGGACUCGCGGCUUAUCAGCUUGUUGGUGGGGUAGUGGCUUACCAAGGCUUUGACGGGUAGCCGGCCUGAGAGGGUGACCGGGCACAUUGGGACGGAGAUACGGCCCAGACUCCUACGGGAGGCAGCAGUGGGGAAUAUUGCACAAUGGGCGGAAUCCUGAUGCAGGAACGCCGCGUGCUGGAUGACGGCCGUCGGGUUGUAUUCCGCUUUCGCCUGUGACGAAGCGUGAGUGACGGUAAUGGGUAAAGAAGCACCGGCUAAAUACGUG
rnacentral:rRNA from 1 species